CACAUAUAUGCUGAUCUGAUAUAUUUUGUCUUAUAAUUGUUUUAUAAUCUUAUAGAAUGUGCUAUUGAGGAAUUAUCUGUAGGAAACUCAACGUUACUAAAUGAUGCUCCAGCUCCUAUUAUUAUUGCUCAACUGCCACAAGAGACAAAUGGUUUAUAUCUUCAAUUUUUCUUCUGUAUGUUUUAAAUGGAUUAACAAAAUAUAUAAUUUUUUUAGCCGAUUUAACUGAAAAUGAUACAGACACAAUAAUACAAUAUGACUUCGAAAAUUGUAAUGAAAAUGUAAUACAAAAUGACAAUUUAACACAAGAUGAAAAUGUCAUUCAAAAUGAAAAUGUAAUACAAGAUACCUCAUCUCUAUGUAUUCCAUCAACAUCACAAGAUGUACGUACAGAACGUUUGGGUGUUCAAUUAGUUGAUGCACGAGAAGCAUUCGAAGAAAUGCAGACAAACAUGCUGAUGCAAUGAAGACAUUGGCAGAAGCCAUGAAACUACAAGCGGAAGCUACUUGUCAACUUAGUAAUGCUAUAGACAGAAUGGCAAACAAAAAACGUCAAACGA